CAAAGCAAAGAGACACAAGGUGUGAAGGAAAAAAAAAAAAACCUUCUAUCCUGCUUUCAAGUAGUCUCACAGUUCCACAUGUGUCUGCAGCUACAGACACACAAGCGGCAACUAAAUGUUUGCAUCGCUGAAAAGCUGUUUUUCUACCUCUUUGGUGCCACUUCAAUUCAAAUAAAUGACACAGACACACACACACACAGCGGAGACUCCUCCCUGCCCACCAUCCUCCAAGCAGACUUCUCUCCAUGCAGUGAAGAUGACGGGGGGGGGGGGGGGGGGGGGGGGCGAGGGGAGGGCAAUGUCUGUUUAUUGUGUACAUAUUAGGAAAUGUUACUGUGUCUUUUAAUAAUUUUAGAACCAAUCCAGACUGAGUCAGAAGUUUCCUUAAAACAACCCAAAACACUUGUGACACUGGCACUGAUUCCAGCUCCACCGUACCCCGUCAGUGGUGAGGGACCGCCGUCCUGCUGCGAUGGAGGUGGAGUGCCGCAGGGUGGGGGUGUGGCGUGGGGGGGGGGGGGGGGGGGGGGGGGGUUUGCCGGUGGUCGAAAACGGGAAGGAAAUGCACAACUUGAAUAACAGAGCCGUUUUUUUUUUUUUUUUUUUUUUUUAAUGAACUCUUUGUGCCUUGGCUUUGGUUUAGUCCUCUUGUAUUAUUAUUAUUAUUGUUUUUUUUCUAUUUUAACUGAUGAAAUCCUGUUGGACGGCACGGAAGACACCUGUUGGACAAUCAGCAGCAGCAGCAUCCACAGGAAGUGAACGGAAAACGGCUUCUGCGUAGAGAACCAGCCUGGUUCCACGUUCUGCAGCGUCCCCAGAGCAUGAGAAGAUCUGCGACGCUGUUGUUUUUUUUUUUUUCUUGCUGCAUGUACAAGUUUUUAUUUGCUAUAAUUAGUUUUAUAGAUUUGACCUUUCGAUGUAAACGUGUGGAUGAUGUGUUGUUCUGGCAGCAUCCUGAGUAUUCACCGUCACUUUGCUGUAGACAGGAGUUUGUAUUGUUUCUGCGCUUCUCAUUAUGUGAAUGGAAUUUAAUAGGAAAUACUACAUUUCACUUGUUUUAUUCCAACAAAAAGCAGAUUAAGACUUGCAAGUUACGUCUUCCACCACAUACACUGGGUUGAGUAAAGUGCUUUUUUUUUUAAUGACUUUUCAAAUGUUUGUGUUUUUCCAGUAAAGAGAAUGUAUCACAGGAAGUUUCAGACUAAAUCUCCAGCAAACCUUCAUGUUGUUUCUUUUGCGACUGUCUGCUGUCUGCUUAGUGCUGCUAUGGACCUAAAGGAAACUUUUUUUUUUUUUUUUAAUUUACAACCUACAAAAACUCAGUAUUGAAUGUGAUGGGUUUUGUUUUGUUUUUUUUUGUUUUUUUAAAUCUGGACACUUCUACAGUUUUAAGCAUUACUAACAAAAAAAAAAAAAUGCACUGGAAACAGAUGCCUGAGUUACUUUUUGAAAAAGGGAGAGCAGUUCUAUUAAAGUAAUGUAUGAAUGUUUACAUUGAUACCCAAGUAUUUGAAAACUUAACUUUUAUACUGACUUU